AACGGAGGGAGUAGAAUGUAAUGGAAAAGUAAAGGGGAAAAACAAUCAGAAGGUGAGCCGCCAGUAUCUGAUACAACGAUUGUGGCUGAAGAGCAUAGGGUAUGCAUCAAGAUCCAGGGGGCAUGGGAGCUUUGCUUCAUCGGCAUGGAUCCGAGAUCUAGAAGAAAGAAUGGAACAUCAGGAUGCAAAUGAUAGAUCUGAUGUGUUUCGUCAAUCAUAUGCACUGGGAGGAGUUAGCCAUGAGACUUGAAGAACAUGAGAGAGCACUUGAAGAGAUGGAUAGGAAGCAACAAGAAGAAUUGGAAGCGUAUAGAAGAGUCAGCAUGAUAAGAAUGAAGGCUGAGAAAAAGAGCAACAUGAGAUUGAUUACCCGAUUGGUUUUCCUUAAGGGUUCAAGCAACUUUGCAGUCCUGGUGUAAACCUGAUGGUGGAUGAAGGCCAUCCUUUUGUGAUGGAGAUAUAGUUGAUGAAUCAUAAAUUGUAAUCAUCAGGACACCACAUGUGGUCUUUAGUUAUCUAAAUAUUACUUUUCAUUUUGCCUAGUGUUGUGUCAAACUUGUGAGCUAGUGUUAUUUCUUUACUACCAUUUUUGUUUAGAGGCUGACUUGGCUGAGAUAGAUUGAAUACAUAAUAUGAUUUGUCUUUCAUUUUAAU